rnacentral:rRNA from 1 species
UGGGGAAUUUUGGACAAUGGGCGAAAGCCUGAUCCAGCAAUGCCGCGUGUGUGAAGAAGGCCUUCGGGUUGUAAAGCACUUUUGUCCGGAAAGAAAUCCUUGGCUCUAAUACAGUCGGGGGAUGACGGUACCGGAAGAAUAAGCACCGGCUAACUACGUGCCAGCAGCCGCGGUAAUACGUAGGGUGCAAGCGUUAAUCGGAAUUACUGGGCGUAAAGCGUGCGCAGGCGGUUUGCUAAGACCGAUGUGAAAUCCCCGGGCUCAACCUGGGAACUGCAUUGGUGACUGGCAGGCUAGAGUAUGGCAGAGGGGGGUAGAAUUCCACGUGUAGCAGUGAAAUGCGUAGAGAUGUGGAGGAAUACCGAUGGCGAAGGCAGCCCCCUGGGGCCAAAUACUGACGCUCAUGCACGAAAGCGUGGGGAGCAAACAGGAUUNGAUACCCUGGUAGUCCACGCCCUAAACGAUGUCAACUAGUUGUUGGGGAUUCAUUUCCUAGUAACGUAGCUAACGCGUGAAGUUGACCGCC